UACGUAGGUGGCAAGCGUUGUCCGGAUUUACUGGGCGUAAAGAGCGCGCAGGCGGUCGUUCAAGUCGCGUGUGAAAGCCCCCGGCUCAACUGGGGAGGGUCACGCGAUACUGAUCGACUGGAAGGCAGGAGAGGGUAGUGGAAUUCCCGGUGUAGUGGUGAAAUGCGUAGAUAUCAGGAGGAACACCGAUGGCGAAGGCAGCUCGCUGGGACGGUACUGACGCUGAGGCGCGAAAGCGUGGGGAGCGAACAGG
rnacentral:rRNA from 1 species